UCUUAUCGAGAGUGGCGGAGGGAACUGCCCUGUGAAACCACGACAACCUGCCCGAAAAGCGGGCAAGGUGUCAAAUCAGCGAUAUUUAUAUCGAAAGAUGAGA
rnacentral:ncRNA from 1 species